AUUGAACGCUGGCGGCAGGCUUAACACAUGCAAGUCGAGCGGGGAAAGGUAGCUUGCUACCUGACCUAGCGGCGGACGGGUGAGUAAUGCUUAGGAAUCUGCCUAUUAGUGGGGGACAACAUUCCGAAAGGAAUGCUAAUACCGCAUACGCCCUACGGGGGAAAGCAGGGGAUCUUCUGACCUUGCGCUAAUAGAUGAGCCUAAGUCAGAUUAGCUAGUUGGUGGGGUAAAGGCCUACCAAGGCGACGAUCUGUAGCGGGUCUGAGAGGAUGAUCCGCCACACUGGGACUGAGACACGGCCCAGACUCCUACGGGAGGCAGCAGUGGGGAAUAUUGGACAAUGGGCGAAAGCCUGAUCCAGCCAUGCCGCGUGUGUGAAGGAGGCCUUUUGGUUGUAAAGCACUUUAAGCGAGGAGGAGGCUACUUGGAUUAAUACUCUAGGAUAGUGGACGUUACUCGCAGAAUAAGCACCGGCUAACUCUGUGCCAGCCGCCGCGGUAA
rnacentral:rRNA from 1 species